GCUUAGACAGCUAGGAGGUUGGCUUAGAAGCAGCCACCCUUGAAAGAGUGCGUAAUAGCUCACUGGUCAAGUGAUUCCGCGCCGACAAUGUAGCGGGGCUCAAGUACACCGCCGAAACCGUGGCAUUCAGUUUUGCUGGAUGGGUAGGGGAGCGUCGUUCACGAGGUGAAGCCAGCGGGUAACUUCUGGUGGAUUGUGGACGAGUGAGAAUGCAGGCAUGAGUAGCGAAAGACGGGUGAGAAACCCGUCCGCCGGAUGACUAAGGGUUCCAGGGUCAAGCUAAUCUGCCCUGGGUAAGUCGGGACCUAAGGCGAGGCCGACAGGCGUAGUCGAUGGACAACGGGUUGAUAUUCCCGUACCGGCGCUA
rnacentral:rRNA from 1 species